UUAGAAUUAUAAUUAAGGGUAUCUAAGAGAUACCACCACGCUAGUUAUAGCAGCCAAAAAUUGACUCUAAAACUGUAUCAUUUAAUAUGGUUUUAGAGUCAAGUUUUGGCUGCUAUAUCUAGCGUGGUGGUAUCUCUUAGAUACCCUUAAUUAUGAUUUCAU
rnacentral:pre_miRNA from 1 species